GGCGGUUAUGACUCACUGGUUAAGGCUCUGGACUCCUGCUCGAAAAGUUGAGAGUUCAAAUCUCAGAACCGCCA